AAUGAACGUUGGCGGCGUGGAUUAGGCAUGCAAGUCGUGCGCGAAAUGUAGCAAUACAUGGAGAGCGGCGAAAGGGAGAGUAUAACGUAGGUAUCUACCCUCGGGUCUGGGAUAGCGGCGGGAAACUGCCGGUAAUACCAGAUGAUGUCCCCGGACCAAAGGUGUGAUUCCGCUCGAGGAGGAGCCUACGUCCUAUUAGCUAGUUGGUGGGGUAAUGGCCUACCAAGGCAAAGAUGGGUAUGGGGUGUGAGAGCAUGCCCCCACUCACUGGGACUGAGACACUGCCCAGACACCUACGGGUGGCUGCAGUCGAGAAUCUUCGGCAAUGGGCGCAAGCCUGACCGAGCGACGCCGCGUGCGGGAUGAAGGCUUUCGGGUUGUAAACCGCUGUCGUAGAGGAGGAAAUGUUGGUGGGUACUCCCAUCAAUUUGACUGAUUCUAGGAGGAAGGACGGGCUAAGUUCGUGCCAGCAGCCGCAGUAAAAC
rnacentral:rRNA from 1 species